GAGUUUCGCGUAGGGCCCACCUCCUCCCGGGCCUGAAGCGGAUAUGACCUGCGCAUCCUCCUCCCAGCGCAGGUCCCAAUGCGACACCCGUCGGGUCCUCCCCCCGGCGGGUGUUGUCG
rnacentral:sRNA from 1 species